rnacentral:rRNA from 1 species
GAUGAACGCUGGCGGCGUGCCUAAUACAUGCAAGUCGAGCGAACAGACGAGGAGCUUGCUCCUCUGACGUUAGCGGCGGACGGGUGAGUAACACGUGGAUAACCUACCUAUAAGACUGGGAUAACUUCGGGAAACCGGAGCUAAUACCGGAUAAUAUAUUGAACCGCAUGGUUCAAUAGUGAAAGACGGUUUUGCUGUCACUUAUAGAUGGAUCCGCGCCGCAUUAGCUAGUUGGUAAGGUAACGGCUUACCAAGGCGACGAUGCGUAGCCGACCUGAGUGGGGGGUUCGGCAACACGGAACCUGAGACACGGCCAGACUCCUACGGGAGGCAGCAGUAGGGAAUCUUCCGCAAUGGGCGAAAGCCUGACGGAGCAACGCCGCGUGAGUGAUGAAGGUCUUCGGAUCGUAAAACUCUGUUAUUAGGGAAGAACAAAUGUGUAAGUAACUAUGCACGUCUUGACGGUACCUAAUCAGAAAGCCACGGCUAACUACGUG